rnacentral:misc_RNA from 1 species
GAUGAAGAACGUAGCGAAAUGCGAUAAGUAAUGUGAAUUGCAGAAUUCAGUGAAUCAUCGAAUCUUUGAACGCACAUUGCGCCCCCUGGUAUUCCGGGGGGCAUGCCUGUUCGAGCGUCAUUUCACCACUCAAGCCUCGCUUGGUAUUGGGCGACGCGGUCCGCCGCGCGCCUCAAAUCGACCGGCUGGGUCUUCCGUCCCCUCAGCGUUGUGGAAACUAUUCGCUAAAGGGUGCCGCGGGAGGUCACGCCGCAAAACAACCCCAUUUCUAAGGUUGACCUCGGAUCAGGUAGGGAUACCCGCUGAACUUAAGCAUAUCAAUAGCGGAGGA